GGAUUAGAUACCCUGGUAGUCCACGCUGUAAACGAUGGAUACUAGGUGUAGGAGGUAUCGACCCCUUCUGUGCCGGAGUUAACACAAUAAGUAUCCCACCUGGGGAGUACGACCGCAAGGUUGAAACUCAAAGGAAUUGACGGGGGCCCGCACAAGCAGUGGAGUAUGUGGUUUAAUUCGAAGCAACGCGAAGAACCUUACCAGGGCUUGACAUCCCUUGAUAACCCUAGAGAUAGGGCAUCCCUUCGGGGCAAGGAGACAGGUGGUGCAUGGUUGUCGUCAGCUCGUGCUG
rnacentral:rRNA from 1 species